UAGUUUUGGGAGGUAACUUCGGG
rnacentral:piRNA from 1 species